rnacentral:tRNA from 1 species
AAGGAAGUGACCGAGUAUUAAGGUAUUGUACUGUAAAUACAAAAACGGGAAAAGUCCCCUUUCUCA